CUCCAACCAGUUUCUGAUCUAGUAUUUCAUCAACUCCGUCUGAACUCAUCGCAGCCUUUUGGAAAACAUUAUAAUGGGAGAAAACAGAAGGAAGGCUUCAGAUUGGGGCAAUGACAUCAUUGAAAGGAAUAAAAAUAUUGGGUCUAUGUAUCCAUAUGUACCUUUCAGACCAGAGUUGCGGCCAUCAUACGAUUCUUCCUUCGAAAGUCCAAAAUCAGCAACCUGACACAAGGGUACCAGAAAAAAAUGUCUUUCAAGAAGAGGGACAAAAAGAUUCAAAAAAUCAAGUAUAUCCUUGUCAAAUUUUAUGUUUCCAGGCACCUAAAUUCUCGAGUUGGACGCCUUAAACAAGAAGCUAGCUUUGCACAUUUUUCGGACUGCUAUUCAGAAAUUAACUUUCAGAUGGUAGCUUACCUUUGCUCUCAUUGAUUGGUCCAACAAUAUAUUAGCAGACUUUAGAUCUCGAUGUAUGACAGGAGGGGCUGCCUGGUCCAAGAAAAUGGGAUAUUAAUAUAUAUAUUAAGGCAGCAUUCCACAGGGGAACUAUAAGAUUUUUUAAGUAAUUCAGCCUACCCCUUCAUGGAGGUAUUCAAUUCCAUGUGAAAUAUCUAGAGCAAUUUGGAGUCUUUCUUCCCAACCCAAAACUAUUUCUUCUUCAUCUGGAUGCAUUUACAGCAACAACAUGUUCAUUUUAGGGGAUCAAAAUGCAAGGAAAAAUAAAUUGAAGUUCUAUCUUAUAAAA